rnacentral:rRNA from 1 species
CUACGGGGCGCAGCAGUGGGAAUAUUGGACAAUGGGGGAAACCCUGAUCCAGCAAUGCCGCGUGGAGGAUGACGCAUUUCGGUGUGUAAACUCCUUUUAUAUGUCAAGAAAAUGACGGUAGCAUAUGAAUAAGCACCGGCUAACUCCGUGCCAGCAGCCGCGGUAAUACGGAGGGUGCAAGCGUUACUCGGAAUCACUGGGCGUAAAGGACGCGUAGGCGGGUUGGAAAGUCAGGUGUGAAAUCCUACAGCUUAACUGUAGAACUGCACUUGAAACUUCUAAUCUAGAGUAUGGGAGGGGGAGAUGGAAUUAGUGGUGUAGGGGUAAAAUCCGUAGAUAUCACUAGGAAUACCUAAAGCGAAGGCGAUCUCCUGGAACAUUACUGACGCUAAGGCGUGAAAGCGUGGGGAGCAAACAGGAUUAGAUACCCCGGUAGUC